AAGGCCUUAUCUUAAUUAAAGUGUCUGAGUUGCAUUUAGAAGAUGUGGGAUAAAGUCCCGCAGGUCUUA
rnacentral:tRNA from 1 species